UGAGUCCACAUGUUCACAUGAUUAAAGGUAUUCCGGUAGACGAUGGGGAUGCGUUCCAUUAGAUAGUAGGCGGGGUAACGGCCCACCUAGUCUUCGAUGGAUAGGGGUUCUGAGAGGAAGGUCCCCCACAUUGGAACUGAGACACGGUCCAAACUCCUACGGGAGGCAGCAGUGAGGAAUAUUGGUCAAUGGGCGAGAGCCUGAACCAGCCAAGUAGCGUGAAGGAUGACUGCCCUAUGGGUUGUAAACUUCUUUUAUAAAGGAAUAAAGUCGGGUAUGGAUACCCGUUUGCAUGUACUUUAUGAAUAAGGAUCGGCUAACUCCGUGCCAGCAGCCGCGGUAAUACGGAGGAUCCGAGCGUUAUCCGGAUUUAUUGGGUUUAAAGGGAGCGUAGAUGGGUGUUUAAGUCAGUUGUGAAAGUUUGCGGCUCAACCGUAAAAUUGCAGUUGAUACUGGAUAUCUUGAGUGCAGUUGAGGCAGGCGGAAUUCGUGGUGUAGCGGUGAAAUGCUUAGAUAUCACGAAGAACUCCGAUUGCGAAGGCAGCCUGCUAAGCUGCAACUGACAUUGAGGCUCGAAAGUGUGGGUAUCAAACAGGAUUAGAUACCCUGGUAGUCCACACGGUAAACGAUGAAUACUCGCUGUUUGCGAUAUACAGCAAGCGGCCAAGCGAAAGCGUUAAGUAUUCCACCUGGGGAGUACGCCGGCAACGGUGAAACUCAAAGGAAUUGACGGGG
rnacentral:rRNA from 1 species